CCUGUUGCCUCAUUUGAAACAUCUCAGUUUACACACAGUCCAUUAUUCCUUGGUCUGGAGAUUCUCCGAUCAGGAGGGUGUCUGUGUGUAUGUGUGCAUUUGGGUGUGUGUGAUUGGUUGUGUGUGUCUCUCUCAACUCUAAAGAUCCCUGUCAAUGGGCCUCAACCGUCACCCUUUCACAUAGGGCUAGUUACACUAUAAGUGAGACAUUUGUGCAUCACAGGCUAGAUACGACCUAAGCAUGUCCCCUAGCCCUUCUAAAUAACUCCCCUCUCCCAACCAUGGGAGCUCAUGUCCUGAGCAAAGAACAGUGUUCUGGGCAGGACAGGGCCCCUGAGUGUGUCCAAGGCUUUGUUUAGUCUCUCAGAGCCCCAGCUACAGACCCAUGUAUCCCCAGUCCCAUGUAGCCCCAGUCCCAUGUAUCCCCAGUCCCAUGUAUCCCCAGUCCCAUGUAGUCCCAGUCCCAUGUAGCCCCAGUCCCAUGUAUCCCCAGUCCCAUGUAGCCCCAGUCCCAUCCCCAGUCCCACGUAUCCCCAUCCCAUGUAGUCCCAGUCCCAUGUAGUCCCAGUCCCAUGUAGUCCCAGUCCCAUCCCAUGUAUCCCCAGUCCCAUGUAGUCCCAGUCCCAUGUAUCCCCAGUCCCAUGUAGCCCCAGUCCCAUGUAUCCCCAGCUACAGACCCAGUCCCAUGUAUCCCCAGUCCCAUGUAGUCCCAGUCCCACAUAUCCCCAGUCCCACGUAUCCCCAGUCCCACGUAUCCCCAGUCCCACGUAGCCCCAGUCCCAUGUAUCCCCAGUCCCAUGUAUCCCCAGUCCCAUGUAUCCCCAGUCCCAUGUAUCCCCAGUCCCAUGUAGCCCCAGUCCCAUGUAGCCCCAGCUACAGCCCCAGCCCCAUGUAGCCCCAGUCCCAUGUAGCCCCAGGUACAGCCCCAGUCCCAUGUAGCCCCAGCUACAGCCCCAGCCCCAUGUAUCCCCAGUCCCAUGUAGCCCCAGCUACAGCUACAGCCCCAUGUAGCCCCAGUCCCAUGUAGCCCCAAUCCCAUGUAUCCCCAGUCCCAUGUAGCCCCAGCUACAGCUACAGCCCCAUCUACAGCUACAGCCCCAUGUAGCCCCAGCCCCAUGUAGUCCCAGUCCCAUGUAUCCCCAGACCCAUGUAUCCCCAGCCCCAU
ensembl:lncRNA